rnacentral:rRNA from 1 species
CCUACGGGAGACAGCAGUGAGGAAUAUUGGUCAAUGGGCGCGAGCCUGAACCAGCCAAGUAGCGUGCAGGAUGACUGCCCUAUGGGUUGUAAACUUCUUUUAUAAAGGAAUAAAGUGAGGCACGUGUGCCUUUUUGUAUGUACUUUAUGAAUAAGGAUCGGCUAACUCCGUGCCAGCAGCCGCGGUAAUACGGAGGAUCCGCGCGUUAUCCGGAUUUAUUGGGUUUAAAGGGAGCGUAGAUGGGUUGUUAAGUCAGUUGUGAAAGUUUGCGGCUCAACCGUAAAAGUGCAAUUGAUACUGGCAGCCUUGAGUACAGUUGAGGUAGGCGGAAUGCGUGGUGUAGCGGUGAAAUGCUUAGAUAUCACGAAGAACUCCGAUGGCGAAGGCAGCUUACUAAACUGCCACUGACAUUGAUGCUCGAAAGUGUGGGUAUCAAACAGGAUUAGAUACCCCUGUAGUC